rnacentral:rRNA from 1 species
UGCAGAAUCCCGUGAACCAUCGAGUCUUUGAACGCAAGUUGCGCCCGAAGCCACUAGGCCGAGGGCACGUCUGCCUGGGUGUCACGC